rnacentral:misc_RNA from 1 species
UACGUAGGGGGCGAGCGUUGUCCGGAAUCAUUGGGCGUAAAGAGCUCGUAGGCGGCUCAGUUAGUCGGCUGUGAAAGCCCGAGGCUCAACCUCGGAACUGCAGUCGAUACUGCUGUGGCUAGAGUCCGGUAGAGGAGAGUGGAAUUCCCGGUGUAGCGGUGGAAUGCGCAGAUAUCGGGAGGAACACCAGUAGCGAAGGCGGCUCUCUGGGCCGGAACUGACGCUGAGGAGCGAAAGCGUGGGUAGCAAACAGG